rnacentral:lncRNA from 1 species
AUUUAACGUCUUGCUUUUUCUUCCUUUGUUUGUGAGAUGAACAUCUCCUAGGACUGUAGAGAGAGUUGACAUGCUCUUGAAGUUGCCUAACUCAGUGCUAGAUACACGCAGAGAUCAGAUAAUCAGAAGGAUUGACAAAUAAGUACAAAAAGAACAACUUGGAACUCUGCAGUCAUAAGUCAUUAAUGUCAAGUCCAAGUCCCAUGGAAUCAUUGUCCUCCAGAUUUGAUGUGCACAAGAAAUAUCUGGGUGUCAUAAGAAGAACUUUGUCCACUUCUCCUGAGACAGGGUUUCUCACUGGUCUGGAACCCUCCAAUUAAACUAGAGUGGUUG